ACCGUAGGCAAGUGCCACCUUGAACACACCCAGUCUUGUCUGAUUUGAGAAGCUAUGCAAAGUCAGCCCUGAUUAGUACUUGGUUGGAACAUUACCUGGACAGACCAAGAAUCUCCAGUU
rnacentral:rRNA from 1 species